rnacentral:tRNA from 1 species
GGGAGCUGGCGGGCGUUCCUGCCCGUCGGGCCCCUGACGCUCGAGAACUACGCCGGGGUCUUCGAGCGGGUGCCGUUCGCGCGGUUCCUGC